CGCCAGACUCCUACGGGAGGCAGCAGUGGGGGAUAUUGCGCAAUGGGGGAAACCCUGAUGCAGCGACGCCGCGUGGGUGAAGGAGUGCUUCGGCAUGUAAAGCCCUAUCGGCAGGGAAGAAGCAAGACGGUACCUGACUAAGAAGCCCCGGCUAACUACGUGCCAGCAGCCGCGGUAAUACGUAGGGGGCGAGCGUUAUCCGGAUUCACUGGGUGUAAAGGGAGCGUAGACGGCCAUGCAAGCCAGGGGUGAAAGCCCGGGGCCCAACCCCGGGACUGCCCUUGGAACUGCAUGGCUGGAGUGCGGGAGGGGCAGGCGGAAUUCCUGGUGUAGCGGUGAAAUGCGUAGAUAUCAGGAGGAACACCAGUGGCGAAGGCGGCUUGCUGGACGAUGACCGACGUUGAGGCUCGAAAGCGUGGGGAGCAAACAGGGUUAGAUACCCCGGUA
rnacentral:rRNA from 1 species